AUGCUAUUUUGCAUUACAGAGUUUGUGCUAAUAUGAGCCAAAUGGAGUUUCUACAGCUAAGGGAAGUCCAGAACCUAAUGUAAUUCUGAAAUCUGAUUUGCUCAGUUUCUUUUUCUUCUUGGGUAGGUCCUAUUCUUUACUGAUCAAUACCAGAACCACCUGACAGCACAUUUUGUGACAUCUUAGGUUGGAUCAAGAUAAGCACAAAACACCAGAUACAAGCUGCAUCCUUCAUGAUGAUUUCAGACUGAUGAUUCAAGGGCCUUCUUCAGGACCUGAAUGUGUGCAUAUUUAAGGAAAUCAUGUUUUCCUUAUUUCUCAUGUGGACAUGAAUUCCUCCAGUCAUAAACUAACCCACAACAGAAACAGUGACUAUCAAAAGAUAACUUAGAAUUUGUACCUGCAAGACAAAAGCUGGUUUCCUAUUUCCAGGAAAUCAUCACUUUUGUUGAGUAACACCAUUUAAAAUAUUUAUUUCCUUCCUUUUAUUUAUACACUGUAGUUUCUACUUCUUAUUUUAUUUGAAAGAGGAAGUUUCUUGAAAGUUUUAGGUUUUUUUUAAAGAUAUCUUUCCAAGUCUGUAUCAAAAAGAGAACAAUUAAAUCACUCUGAAAAAUGGAAGAGGUUUUAGCAAUAAAUCAUUGAGAUUGGAAAGCUAAGGGAAAAGACCUUUACUGCUUAUUUACAUUUACCUAAGAAUCAAUCUUUAAAUUGCAAUGAAUCUUUUCAUUAUAAGAACUGGCCAGGUGUAGCACAUCAAAAAAGACAUAUUUAUAUUCCCCUCUGAAUUUGCUUUUCAGUCCCUGGCUGUCUUCCACUGCAAACAGAAUCUGCAUCAGAAAUGGGUAUAAGCCAGCAGUUAUUCAUUAAUAAUUUUUAGCAAUUACAUUUCUGACAAUUCUUCCAGUUAUGACAUAAUGUAGGUUUCUAACAUAUGGCAGUGUCUGGCCUUGGUCUGACUUUUGGGUUCAUAUUGGCAUCACCUUGUGUUGACUACCAAUCUACUUGUCAAGGAGCAAGGAGGAAUACUCUCUGCUUAUCUCUCUUCUGGGAGGCAGGCAUACAUCAGAAGCUUAAUUCAGGCUGUGCUGUUCUGAUGUGUAUAUGAUGCAAAAAAACAUGAUGAUAAUGAUAAAUGAUAAACUAUAAACAUUUAUUUCCAUAAUUAAAAACCUUGUACUGGGUUGAAAAAAUAAGAGAUGCCACUUAUAUGCCAACUAAUAGGUGCACUCAGACUGUUCUUGUUCCUUGCUUAUUUUAUCUGUUCUCUCUGUGUGAACUGCAGUCCCCUCCUUUCCUUCUUCUGUCUGAGCAAACCACCAGGGUGGUUUGCAUCUGUAAAAUCAGAGAAGACUUGCCUGUUUUGAACUAUUUCUAAUUCUCUUUGACUUUGCUAUUUUUCAAGAAAUUUAAUUACAUCCAGUAAGGAACAAAGGUUUAAGGAAGCAAGAAACUGUGGAUGUCUUUGAUGCACAAUUAAUGAUUCCCUGUAGAACACGUUUGAGCUCAUGAAAGGAGUUCAAACCUGAGUGACCAAACAGAUGACUAACAAUGCCAAUUCUUAGAAACUUGGUCUACAAGGAGAAGUGCAUGGAAAGGACAGAGGGAAAAAAGCUGCACUAUAGCUCUGCAAGCCCCAUGUGCAGAAGUAGAUGAAAGAGUUUCCUAGAAUUCACCAGGAGUGAACAAUAUCACAAACUAAAGGAAAAACUCUUCUCUCUGGAAAAAAGAAGACGAUCCCAAGAUGAAUGGAUUGUCUGGACAAUAGCCACAUGGAAUGCAGUCAGCAGAACUGAACAGUAAAUUGGGGAAAAGUAAUUUGUGCAGUGGGAGACUGUGACCACUGAUUCUUUGGCCAUCUAUUUAACCCAGACCCCAGACUCAAGCAGAAAGAAGAACUGCACAUGUGGACUAGCAAGAGAAACUGCUGUCAGUAGUCCCUGCUGUUGCUGGUGUGAUAAUCACAGAAGAUUCUGAGUUGGAAGCAACCCACAAGGAUCAUCAAGUCCAAUUUUUAGUGGAAUGGCCCAUACAUGGAUUGAACCCACUACCCUGAUUAUGUUAGUACCAUGCUCUGACCAGCUGAGCUAAUCUCAGGAGAAAGAAUGGGAGAUGACAGCAUCUGCUGGGCACAAAGGAAACUAUUGCUCCUGAUACAAGAGAAUAACAGGAAGAUUCAUGAACAGAAUGGUUGCAAGAAAGGCAGAAGAGGAAGACAGGCUGCUGUUGGCGGGGAGUGAAGGUGCUGAGAAAUUUCAAUAACUGGCACCUCAUUUAGCUGCUGGGCAGAUGUUUGUAGGACUAUUGGACUUCAUGCACAGCUCACAGCAGUGAAGAACUUGACUGGAAAUGGGCACAGAGCUGAACCAAUAACUGGAAAGUCCAGGGAUUUCCCAGUGUAGCAUUGGAACCAUAAGUGACUGUGGAGGCUCACCCUGGGAUACCAGGGAGUGCUCACAUUGCUGCCCUCUGACACUGAACAGUGCAGGCAGAAAGGUCACAGAGGCUGAAAGUAUGACUUUACAUGUUCCUCCACAGCAUGGCUUCUUGGUACAAGACACUGACAGCUAACUGCAUCCAGUACCAGAUGUAGCCUGGCUGCAGAAAUCAAGCAGUUGGCCCAGGUUCACCACUGUGCUAGGAGACUCAUCCAUACUUACCAAUAUCAGCACUGACAUCUGUGAGAAUGCAUUUAUUUCCACCUAUUCAUUGCAUAUUGACAGGAAGAUGAAGGAGAGAGAAGCAAUCUUUUUAUUUGAGAUGAAGGGAAGUUAACUAAGCAUAUCUUUUAGGAGGAAUUAUAUUAUUUUAUGCAUAUUUUUAAUGUAUUUGAAAUGUGAAAGUAGAUCAAGGACUACAUUUUUGAAAGCACUGUGGCAAGAACAAUAACAAUGAAAUCACUCCUUAUAAAUGAACUCACCUGUCAACGGGCCAGAUUAUGAGCUCAAUUACGUUGAUAUGAAUCUUUAAUACCUCCACAGAAAGCAAUUAAUCUUCUUGUUAUUCUCACUAUUUUAAUUGCAAAUGGAAUCUGCUGUGACAUGCCCAAGCACCUGAAUUUGAUGACCUUCAAGAUCUUGCACAGACCUUGAAAACAUUAGUGCUACUCAAAGCUGCUUAUCCACAUUGGUAUUAGUGACCCCAAGACAAUUAGAAACUGCUACAAAAUUCUGAAAACAAAGAUGAAGACAGAAUAACAAGAAGUGCUUCUGUCUCUUCUCUCAAAUUCAUACAAUUGCACAGGCUUAUACUGUCAGGUAAGACUUUCAGAGUUAUGGAAGAUUUUCUUAUGGAAGUCACAGAAAGUUUCUGACCUAGAUCUUCCUUGCCAGUGCUCAUUGAGGAAGGUCUGUGAGGAGCAUGGGAUGUCCAGCUGACAAAAAAGGGACUACCUAAGAGAAUCACCAUUCAUCAUCUGGUAAUGAUUGAUUCAGAGCAUUUGAUGAGGAUGCUAAGAACAUGGAAGCUAGCUGAAAACUGCUGGAGGAAAAUGAGAGUUGCCUGAUGAGCAGUUGAGAUACCUGUACACGAAUAUCCAAAUAACAGGAGAAAACUGGAAAAAUUUGAAAUCUUAAAACGCCAUUAAAAUUGUGUAUUAUUAUUGAAGAGACACAUUAGUGAGUCAUUGAACUGCAAUGUUUACACAAAAAGAAUUAAUAUCUGAGGGAAAUUUAAGAUAUAUUUUUUCCUACAUAUUAAAAGUAUUUAUUUUUGCUCUCAUUCAUGAAGUGAUAACAAAUAGUAAAAGACGUAGUAUUUCUGAAUAAAUGUAAAAGGAGUAAAACAGAUGUAUGGAGUGUGCUGCAGACUGCCUAGUAAGAGGGAAAUAUUGAAAGGUUUUAAGCAAUUACCAAAAAAAGCUAUGCAGGAUGGCAGUGAAGAACCUGAGUUACAUAUAUUUUUUGAAAAAUAAUAUGAUAGAACAGAAAUAUGUCAUUCAAAAUUUAUUAAGACCAACCUUUUCUCUAGAAGAUGAAAGAAGCUAUUGAAGAACCACUCUUGAUUUAAUUCUGAAAGGCAGAGAAGAGCUACUUAAGUAUUUGGUAUGAAAGUAUGAGAUAGGGUCACUAUCAGCUGAGUAAAAAACAUCUUCACACCAGAUUUAGUGAUUCAUUGCUAGGCUAUAAAGAUACUUCAGAUAUAUCUGUAUAUUUCCUAUAUACCUAUAAGGUGAUUCCUGAUCAGUUCAGUAUUUCCUUUAAUGACUUUAUGUAAAGGAAUACAAAAUAGAUGUAUUGGUUUUUAGGUUUUUUGAAUAAUUUUGGGAUACACCUUCCAUGGUCUGCAUCUCCUAUUGGUUGAUACUUUCUAGCCCACACCCAUAGGCUCUCAGAAGCUCCAGAGCCCCUGACCCACUGUUCCCAAUAGAGAAGACAAUUUCCAAAUUAAAAUAUUUCAUCUACAGAUUUACAUAUAAUUAAUACAUUCUUUAUCCCUUUUAAUAUCCUUUGGUUUUUUGGUUAUCUCCUUCAGUCAGGCAACAUGCACUCUUUAGUUGAUGACUUUAUGUUAAACUUGUAUGGAAACUUUGUUCCUAGCUGCACUACAGUUCAGGUUCCACAUCUUAAAAUGGGAAAAGUUGCAGUUUGUGUAUAAUCCAUGAUAAAAUAUGGGAGGUGUGUUGUGCAGAUCUCGGGCUGCAGACAUUGGUAUGUUGUGUAUGCGCCUCCCACCAAUGUUAUCGAUGUUCUCAAUGUCUCUGAUGCAGCAGUUGUCCUGCUGAAAUAGUCAACCUUCAUCAUUUUGUCACAUAGAGGGCUGACACAGAUUCUCAGCAAACAUGCAUGAGAUUAAGGAAUUAGAGACUUUAAAGUUAUGCUUUGUUUGCAAAUCAUAAUUUUCUUAAGUAGGUAUUAAAUAUUCUCAAAAUAUGCAGUAUCAGGAGAAGCAUCAUGUAAGUGUUCAUAUCUCCUAGCUGGCAGCUACCCACAAGGCAUUUAUUCCCAACUAAUUCCAGCCAAGUUUUUCAUUCUCUACUGUUGCUUUAAACUUUCCAUUUCACACACUGAUUAGCUCAGUAAUAUUAUCAGUUUCCUUUCUAAUCUGUGAGGCACCGAUGAAUUCAAGCAGGGCCAGGAGGGAGGUCACAAGCAACCUGCAAGGCAACAUUAAAAUUCAAAAUGAUCUUGAGAAACUGGGGAAAUAAGAUGAAAUCUAGCAAGAUGAAAUUCAAUAAUGAGAAGUAAAAGGCACUGCACCUUGAAGAAGAACUCAUAUGUGUAACUACAAAAUGAGGGGAGCUCACAAGGCAGCAGUGUGCCACGUGAGACCUGGGAAUGAUAGUACAUUCUGAGGAGAAAGAAAGUCAACAGAGAGAUGAAAAUUCAAAACUGGUGAAUCUCAUUCUGGGAUUCAUUAACACCAUGUGAGAGAAAUGCAGAAAUGAGACAACGUGGGCACCCUGAAUUUGGUACAUGCAGGCUGCUGUGAGCUUACCAGAAAGAACAGACACAGGCAGGAUAUCGGUGCACCAUGAAAUUAUCAUCACAUCAAUGCAAGCAGGUGGACACUUUAUGAAGGAUACAGUCAGAAAUAAUGGGAGUAGGAAUGGGUGAGUAGGUCACUUAGCCUACUAUUUUUAAAACUAAUUAUUAGUAGAUAUGAGAUUUUCAGUUUAUGGUUUACCUGUCACGUAUCAUCCAGCCCAAACAUGCCAUUCUGUGAUAGUGUGAAUUAAGAAAAAGGCAACGGCAGCAUCCAGCUCUGGGGUCCCCAAUAUAAGGAGAUGGACCUGUUGGAGAGAGUGCAGACAGGGGCAUGGGGAUGAUCAGAGGGCUGGAACAUCUCUUCUAUGGAGACAGGCUGAGAGAGCUGGGGUUGUUCAGCCUGGAGAAUAGAAGGCUUCAGGGAGACCUUAGAGCACCUUCCAGUACCUAAAGGGGCUACACGAGAGCUGGAGAGGGUCCCUUUACAAGGGCAUGUGAUGAUAGCACAAGGGUGAGUGGAUUAAACUGAAAUAGAUUAGGUUUAGAUUAGUUACAAAGAUGAAAUUCUUUAGUCUGAGGGUGGUGAGGCACUGGCACAUGUUGCCAAAAGGAGUUGUGAAUGCCCUAUUCCUGUCAGGGUUAAAGGCCAGGCUGAAUGUGGCUGGGAGCAACCUGGCCUGGUGAAAGGCAUCCCUGUGGCAGAGGGGUUGCAGUGAAAUGAUCUUCAGUGUUUCUUGCAAACCAAACAAUUCUGUGAUUCUAUGGCCCAUUUAUAUUAGCUAUAUAUUGGCUGGGCACCUAUAGGCUAGCAAGGAAGGCUGUAUAUCAUCUUGGCACCGGGUUUUAGUAAACACCAAACCAGAGCUGACUCAGAGAAAAGUGAUGUGAUGAUGUGUUCCUGGCCUAUUUCUAUAGGCAUUUUUAAUUGAUCAGUCACCCAGUCUUCCAAGAAAAAAAUCUGACCAGGGCAUUUUUUAGCAGUCACUGUAUGUUUCAGAAAAAAAAAGAAAGUAUAGGUAUAUAUGUAAGUAUAAGUAUAUAUGUAUUAAUAUAUAUCUUAAGUAUAUAUGGCAUUCAGAGGACACUAAUUUUACUCAUAUUUAUUGCUAUUUGUACGUGCAGAGUUCUCAGGAAUAUUUCUUUUUCUUCUGCACUCUCAAACAGACAGCUGGAAAUGCGUGAAUAGUACCAUUAACAUUAAAAAAAACCCAAAAAAACCCAAAAACAAAACCAAAACCCUAAAACUAUUCUCUGUUAAGAAUAAAAACCAAAAGCAUUUGCAAAACAAGAACCUCUCUUCUAAGCGACCGGUUUGUUCCUGAACAUGAGACCUCACAGGUAGCAGUGGAGCUGCUCCAGGCCUCCUGCAAACACUUCUAUGGUUCUUUUAUGUUACUUUUCUUCAUCUUUUCUUCAUCUUUUUUUGUGUGUUUGCAUGUGAUGACUGAUUCCCAGUUCAACAACAACUCCUCUGUUGCUCAGGAGAUGCAAAUAUAAGCACAAUGGGUACAGUGACCUGGCGUGCAACAGAGAAAAAUGCCUUCAAUAAUUAAUGAGAGAAUGGGAUGUGGAACCACUAAAUCCAGUCUGAAGUUGAUUACAGAGCUGUCAGUCAUAUGCAGGGCAAUGUAAUGAAACAGAGCAACUCAGCAGUCAGGAUACGUAUGAAAGUCAUUUCCUAUCCCUUCUGCACUUUUUUUAUGGACUGUAAAACUGACAAUUGGAUUAUUGAAAGGAAAAACAGAUGAAAUAUGUCUGUUUUGAAUGGGAACGUAUCUCAGUAAUAUAGCCCACACACACACUGUCCUAUUUUUAUCCAGAGUUCAAGAAAUAAGUUAUUCAAAUGUAUUUAAAUAAGCCUUCUACCCUACCAAUAUAGUUUCAAACUGCCUCAUCUGUUGUGUCAUAAGCAUAAACCACCCUAGAUUAAAUUUAUAUGUAAUUAUUUUGUUCCUCAUAUGUCCUUCUAUCCAAGAUAUGUCCCUGAAGUGGCUAUCUUGUGAUUUUGAAACUUACAUUGUUCUUUACCUGAAGCAGAAUUCAGAUCAGUUUCUCAAGGUCAUUUUUAAUAAAAAGCAAGCCUAGUAUCAGACAAAUUAUUAUUUAGAAUAAAAAAAGUACUCAGUUAUAAGUUUUUUGUGAUUGUUUCUUUUUAUUCCUUCUAAAGGAUCUGAUUGAAGCCUCAAAUCCCUUAUGAAUUCUUAUUGAAUUUAUCAAAUAUGAUGUGGUUCAAAAGCAGAUUGAUGCCUUAAGUUUUAGCUUUCAUAUUUUUCAGAUUCUGUGCUGCCUUGGUGUGUAACUCUGAGCUUCAUAUUAAGUGUUACUAAGUUCUCUUUACAGGGUAGGUAGACAAAACAGUCUUUUUCCAGCUUGAGAACCAAGGACAACUAUUACAAGCCUCAGGCCCAAAAAGCAUAAACAGCAGUGAAUUGAGGAGAAUGAACAAGGAGGAUGGGACGUCAAUAACUGAAGCUCUAAUUGCACAAUUAAGCCCAUAUGUAAAUGGAGCAAAACUUAUAAAAGUGUGAAAUCUCAUAAUGGGUCAUCCAUCUGGUGACCAUUUUGGGUCCAUCUUGGGUAUAACCGUGGCCAGGCUCUAGGCAUGAAGAUGACUGCAGAAGUGCAAGGUUGCACAGCUCUUUUCUUCCCAGAGUGAGUGCCCUGUGUCUAUAUCCUAAUAACAUCCUAGAAUAGGUCUGGUUUGAAUUGUCAUCUAUCAUAAGAAGUCUUCUGAAGAACAGAGAGUAUUUCUGAGGGGUUUGUCUGUUUCUGCUAAUAUACAGAAGUGGUAUCCAGAAGCCCUCAUUUGCCUUGGACCAAGGCAAACUAGAGGGCAUGCCAAGGAUUUUGUAUUCCUCAGAGGCCUGAGUCCAUUAGCGUGGGUUUGUCCCUCAGCCUAAUAAGGCAGGAGCUGGAGGGAAAGUCUUUGGAAAGGGAGGUGGGAAAAGCAAGUAGGAGAGAGCCAAAGCAAUGUGUUGGAGUCACUGACUGUGGCAGCUUGGGAAAUCCAGGGCUAAAUGAUGUUGUUCUGUGGAAAUAACCUACAGUUUACAGCCUCUGAGAUGGAUAAUGUGUCAGCUGGAAACAACAGGGAGAGUGGAAAUAAGAGACCAGGGACAGCAGGGAGACCAUGGAGUAAGUCUGGAAAAAAAAAACCUCAGGGGGAAAAAUGAUCAGGAGUGCAUGCCUAAGCUUGAUGGAUAUUUUAUGAGGUAGAAGAAACAAAAUGCUUGUUCAAAUUGCUUGUACAUACUGCUAAAUAACUUGAGCUGAGUAUGCAGAUCUGUGAAACAACCUGUAAAAGCCAGAUCAGAAAAUGCUGGCAAUUGUUCAAAUGUGUGGAGGUACUGUAGGAAAAAGCCCUACUAAAAAUUAGAUAUUUCAAAAACUACAAAAUUUGGAAACGGUAGUCCACUUGAUGCCCCAAACAACUACUAAUUUUUUGAUGCUGUUGCUUUCACACAAGGAAAGGAAACACACAUCAGUAUACUGAUGGCCACUGGGGAGCCAACAGGUGCUAAGAACCAGAGUUAUGACCCAUUUUUCUUCCUGUAGUCCAUACAUUUUACUUCUAGGUAAGCACAUUCCUCUUUUUUUGCAGAACGUUAGGAAUGCAGGCAAUGUCUGAUUAGGGUCUUUUAUGCAGAGAAAUUGCUGGAAAGUGAAAUAGAUAAAGCACAGACCAAACCCCAGUCCAAUUAGUUGCCUGUUCCAACCCAUUCUGCAGUAUCUUUUACAAAUAUACUUCAGAAAAGAAAUUAUCUCAGAAGUAUUAGCAGGGGAAUUUUCCAAGACUUUUCCCUCUGCACUAAAAAUCCCAAAUCCUUCCAAAAGCACCUUACAAAAACUGAUAAGAUAACUACCUUUUAUUUCUAAUUGCUUAGGUAGAAAUUUUUUAUUGCUAAAAGUCAAUGGAAAAACACUUCAAAAAUAUAUGAAAAAGUACCUCUUAUUGCAACAUUGUCACCUUUAUUUUAAAAAAUAUGAGUUUAUGAGCAACUUUUGAAGUAGUGGUAGUUUAUAUGCUCUGUGGACUGGAAAAAUGUUCGAAUCUUGAAAAUAUGACAAAAAAAAAUUGAAUGUCUCCUUUAAAAAUGAAUAAUAUUGGAAAACCAGACCCAAAGUAAAAAUACUUUUGGAACACAACUCUGUUUUUUGAAAUAUAUGUGUCUAUAAGUUGAAAAAUACUGGCUUUGCUUGAAUCUAGUCAGUAAUUUCUUAGUAGUGCAACUUGGUAAGGCUCCUAUACAGCUUUUAAGCUGCCAUAUCAACUUCUGCAACUAUGGCUAUAUUUCUAUGGACUUCAGUAAAAGCUUCUGAUAUUUUAUUUUUAUAGAAGCUUAAGGAAGGAGUGUAUAUUAUGGUCCUUUUGUAAAGAUUUCAGGGCAGCAUUCCUGCUUCAGGGAGCAACUGGGAGGUGGUAGGAGGGAUCUUUGUCACCAUUCCAUGUAAGAAGCAGGAGUUGUGCCCAGGUGGAGGUGAUAUUACUGCUGUAGGAUAUGUUGUAUGAACACCUUGUGAUGUGACCUGCAUAUUCCCACAAGCCUCUGGUGAGAAUUAACUUUGAUGUUUACAGCAUGACCCGUUUUUCCCUGGCUUUUUAGUGUAUCAAGGAGCUUGUCAACACCACCAGCUGACUCUGCCAUAACCAGCUGUCUCCUCCUCGAGCUCUUAUAAAAUGCAGUGGUGCUAACACAGGAUGAGGCAGAGUAAGCACAGUGUAGAUAUGGAGAAAUGCAGAACAUAUUAAAAACCAAUAAUUUUGAAACACAUAAAAAUACUGUUGAAAGACCUGUGAUAAAAUCAUGUCCUGAGUUCUUUUCAAAUAUCUCUCUAGGAAAUUUCUCAUACAUUCAUGU